UUGUUAGAUUAAUCUCUUGUGUUCUUGCGUGUAAUGGCUUGGUUUUAGGUUUUCUAACAAUGUAUUUUUAAAAUAUGCUUUUAUAUAUUUAAUGGUGUUUGUCGACAGAACAAAGGAAGAGGUUGACAAUAGCCAUGGAGCUUGUCGCUAACCCUUCAGUCAUCUUCAUGGAUGAACCAACAUCAAGAAGAGACUUGGUCUGGUCUAGUCAGUCCGGUCCUGAUUCCUGGUCAAGAGGUCGAACGCGGGUCAGGUCCAUAGGCUGAGGGAGAAGGGAGCGCUGGUCCGAGAGGUGGAGCAUCGUCUGGUCUGCAGGUGGGGGCAGAACAGAGAGGGGUGUGCACGGAAGGUUUGAGAGAUGGGUUUUGAAACGGAUUGGGUUCACCAUAAUUGAGGAAGGUCGCUGGAAUGGGUUUUAGGGGGGUGUUGAAAGGGCGGGGGCAACAGGUUUGGGGGAUGUGGAAUCGUCGGAUUCGUCAGAUGGGUUUUGUUGGUGAUUGGAUUCAUCAAAUGGGUUUUGGUGGUGAUUGGAUUCUGAUACCGUGAAGAUUUUUCAAAAACAGAUGGAUGGGCUUGGACAUAAAAUCGAUAUUAAAGAGAGAUGCUCUGGUACUAUCUGAGCACUAAGGUAUAAUGUACUUGCAUAUGUUCACUUGGAUAGUCCAAUCGAUCAAUCUGAACCGUUUAUUAA